rnacentral:misc_RNA from 1 species
GAUGAAGAAUGUAGCGAAAUGCGAUAAGUGAUGUGAAUUGCAGAAUUCAGUGAAUCAUCGAAUCUUUGAACGCACAUUGCGCCCGCUGGUAUUCCGGCGGGCAUGCCUGUUCGAGCGUCAUUUCAACCCUCAAGCUCUCCGGAGUUUGGUGUUGGGGCGCCUGGGGCUUUUCGACCUCAGGGCCCUCAAGUCCAUCGGCGGGACCGCCAGGACACUGAGCGCAGUAGUAUUAUUUCGCUCGGUAGGAUCUUCCACGGCGGGUCGAUCUGGCCGCUAAACCCCCCAAUUCUCACCAAAGGUUGACCUCGGAUCAGGUAGGAAUACCCGCUGAACUUAAGCAUAUCAAUAAGCGGAGGA